AGAACAGUUUCAGGUUAAGAACGGACCUCUGGAACAAAUUAAGUUUUUAACCCAAGAUACCACUGUAUUCUUUGGUGAAAACUGUGCACUUUAAAUGUAUGGUGUGGAUAUGAACUAUGUGCCAAAAUUUGUCCAGAUCCAUUCAACCCUUACUUGCACCAUACCAGCUUAGCUCUGCAAAGAGACUUUCAGUCUAGCAUGGCAGCCAUAAUAUUGUUUCUUAUUUCAGGAUAAGAUGUCUUGUAUUGCAGAUUUCUAAACACAUAGAAGGAACAUAGCUUAGCGGUUGAGCAUAUGCAUUGCCUGCACAAGGUCUCCAGGUUCUCUCAUGGCCUUCACAUCUCAGGGAUGAGGCCAUGAAGAACUGGAGGGGGAGAGGGAAUCGGCUGCAGAGCCGGACACACUGGUCUCCAGUGCCCCAGAAGCUCCAGUGCAGGAAGAGACUGUCCUGCCAGCCCGUCUCCAGCCUGUGGUCACAUUACCACUCUGAGCACUGCAUAAUCGCCAAUAAGCUGCCUUGCUGCAGAAAUCUAUGGCUGCUGAAGCAGGCAAGACCCUUUGAGUCACAUUAACUGGUUUCACUUGCGGGUGCAGCUAGCCACCCACACUGAGCUGCCAUCUUAUUUAAGGUUCAGUCAGGGGUUAUGUGUUGAAGCAACAUGUUAAACUUGUUUCAGCUUGAGUGACACACAGAGCUGUCUCUUCUGAAUGCCAGGCACCUCUGCAAGAGCCAUCACCUGGAGCAGAAGAGGUUUGAUCCCUGGUAUCUACAGUAUGUUGAAAGGAAUCUUGGAUUACAGAACCUGGAAAGGAGUUUGCAUGAAGCCUGGCUGACCAGCUGCCAAUCACAGUUGAUAAUGUGGGAUUAGGUAAGCAAAUGGUCUUGACAUUCUCAUUCGUGUUUAAUGCCAAUUCAUUUAAAGUUUGCUGUAAAAAAGCAGUGGUGAGGCUUGGGCUUCUACAGUCUCUCUUCUACCCCACCCCAGUGAUUUCUUAACUAAUGUCUGAUUUAUUGCACUUUGCAUGUGAAUGUAGGAAAUUAUGUUUCACUGAGAAAGAGGAGGAAGGGAGGUGAAGUUGGUGGGAAUACAUGAGCCUGAGAGUUGUCACUAUUAAUUUAUUCACUAAAUUUGCAUGCCACCCUUCACCUGAAGAUCAAAGGGCAGUUCACAACAU